GUGAGUCAUCGAGUCUUUGAACGCACCUUGCACUCGUUGGGUAACUGGCGAGUAUGCCUGUUUGAGAAUCAUGGUAUCACAUCUUGCUUCCGGUUCGGGAGCAGACUUGGGGGUUCUGUCGUGGUGCGUGCUGCCCUGCCUGCGUGGCGCGCACCGGGCAGUCCCCUUGAAUGCAGCGGGUCUGGCAGCCGGACAUUGUGUGUUGGAGGCCAGUCGGUCUACUCACAGUGCGUCCGGCCGGCACCGGGCCCAGCGUGUCCGCGUCGUCCUUUCUGUGAUCUCAAAUCAGGCAAGACUACCCGCUGAACUUAAGCAUAUCAAUAAGCGGAGG
rnacentral:rRNA from 1 species